ensembl:lncRNA uncharacterized LOC114858868
AUGCGCCGGCGCGCGGUUUCUGCUUUUACCGGACGUGACGUCCCUAUUCUUAGAUACUGCAAAGUGAGCGGUAGCGAGAGAAGCGCAACGAGGAGGCGAUCUGAUCGAGAACAAACGGUGAAAUGCAGAAAAGAAACAUGCUUUUCACUGGGAGAGUCAAUGUGGUGUUUAGAAAGGGACCACAUGGCUACCUGCGUCAAGAUCCCUCAGAUGCAGCCAAGCAUCAGACCGGUGCAGACCUGUCCUGCAAGGAUGAAGGAGGAGCUGGUCAGACAGAAUGCCCUGACUGUCGUCCAUCAGAGAGGAGAGGACGCAACAGAGGACAAGGAACUGCUGGGAGAAUACAUUUUCCAAUUUGGCAAAUAUAAAAGCAAGUUUUUUCGCUGGCUCCUUGAAAAUGACAUGAGUUACACCAUCUACCUCAUCAAAAACCAGCGUAAAGAAGAAGCGGCAGGUGUCUUCAAGGCAGAGGGCCACAACAAGGACAGUCUCAUGUCGUUCCUGAGAUAUGCCCCCAGCUUCAGGGAAAAACAGGAUCUUCUGAGCUUUGAAGCUAAAAAGACAGUCCCAUUAGAAGGCGUGCCGGAGGACGACCAGCUCGUUGGUUUUGGUUCCCGUGGGGACCAGACCUGGAGACAGAUGUGGGACAGCAGGAAUGAUGGCUAUACAGCCUUCAUCCUGAAGAAAAGCUGUGUUCAAGGCUCGAGAAUGCAUAAACUCCAGCAAUACCUGCAGAACAAGCAAAGCUGUGCCUCCGUGGAGACUCCUUCCCCACGUCCUUCCCAGAAAGCCAUGCAGAUGGAUGAAAAUACAGAGCUGGAGGCGGCUAUGCUCUGUAUUUCACCUCCCAGACAGGAUUCCCAGAAUGUCGUUGAUGCUGCUGCACCUCCAGCCUUUGGACGAUCAUGUAAAGAAGGUUCUACAUAUGAUACACCCAACUGCCAGCUGUGGAAUAAUGAACUGCUCUCCCAGCUCUGGGACAAUGAAGUCUACCGAACCAAAGCAUGCCUCUAAUGUUCAAGUUGACCACAUUCUGGUCUUGUUUGUUCGCUGCUGUUCUGUUUUCUUGUUGCAGUGUUUGUGUUGCAUAGCCUAAAUGAUGUAACUUGAUCUCCAAGUAUACUGACAUUAUGAUCUCCCCUCUGCCUCAGAGUGUGGAAGAACAGCAGGAGGAGGGUCCGUCCCAUUCUGCUGCACAGAUGCACACAGUUCAGUGAUGUUCAGUAAAUGCCCAAGUUCAAUUAUGUAAGAGUAAUAAGGAACUAUAUCAUGUAACUCUAAAUCUUCUGUAUGUCCAGUCACCAGUUAAGGAGUUGUAUAAACUACAUCUUAUCAAGAAAAUAGAAAGAAAAUAACAAGUAAAUGUUAUAUUUGACCCACCAGAUUGAAAAGACAGAUCUAAAAAAAAUUAUAAUGAAAACUGAAAUUCUCAAACAAAAGCUGGAGGUGAGUGUAUAGUUAGAAGUGAAUUGUAUGAAUUAUUGGAAGAAUUCUAAAAUCUAACAAUUGCCUUUGUAUUUGUAGGAAAUGAAGAAAACCAAAUCAAUGACUUGCAUUUAUUCAGUUUCUUUUAUUGGUGGUGGUGGUUGGUUAAGACAUUAUGGCAUCACAUCUCUAGAGCUCCCCUCUAAUAAUUGCAAUAUUGUGGGGAACAACACAUGCCACAACAAUGUCACAAGCCUCUCAGGUGUUACCCUGAGGUGACGUAGGCCCUGGAGAUGUGCUUUCAGCAGGCCUAUGGUCAUUUCCACCCGGCUUCUUGUUCUGCAGGGCCACAUUAACGCGCUGCUGGGGGCCGGCUUCAGGUUCUGGGUGAGGGGUCAGUAGUGUGGGCUGGCAUGGGAGACCCCUGUCUCCAGCAGAAAGCUGUCAAUCUCUCCUAGAAGAAAGUUCACGUUACUUUGGAUGUUAUUAACUGAUCAUUUUUCAGAUUAGCCUUACUAAAACUAAUUAAAUACCACAUACAUGCAAUCCUGUGAAACCCCUCUUUAAUGGCUUUGAGGAGGUUAUCGCAAGGAAAGCGCCUGAGGUCGAACUAUUCUAAUACUGUGGGUUUUACCAGUGUGCUCAGCAUCUCCAAUGUUAUAAAGAAAACUACCGUUUGCAAAAAGAGUAACGCAACACAAAGAAUCUGCUCGGACGUAAGAGCACGGCCACGAUGGAUGAUGUGUCUGAUGUAUAAGAUUAUUGAUAUAUGUUAUGGAGUCUCAAGAAAAAUGGUAUUUUUACUCCUAAUUUACUCAUAAUUAACUCCUCAAAACCUCUUGCGGCGUAAAUUCAAUGCUGUGCGAAUCAAUACAGCCUCCUCAUCUACAGCAUCGUCUAACGCGACGCGUGACUAACCGGCAACUAGUGAUGGGUCCGGCAACACCGAUGCGUCGGCGCCUGCGUCGAGCUCUUAGAGCGAAACACUGUGUCGGUGCGCGUAUCGCGUUGGGAAAGCACGUGACCGAUACAGUUCCUGUAUCAGUCACUGUCUGACGCGCCAGACUGUGUUUAUAAGGAAGCGCAUGUGUCGGGCUGCAUCUGCCGAAUGGAAUCCCUGAGCGUUUGCCGUCCAUCGUCAUCGUUCAUCUAUAAUUCAUCUCAUAUCGGAAAAUAAGGUUUCUUUUUUUAUUUAAUUUUAUAAUAAAGUGAAAGUUUAUUAUUAAAAUAAUUAAUUA